CUACCAAGAACCUCUUCACAUACAGAGUGUCUCAGGUAAGUCUAACUUUGGAGAUUCUCUACCAGUCAUCUUGGGUGACCUGAGGUAGCCAUAUGAAAUGGCCAGGUCCCAUUAUGGGUAAUAGAAAAGAACAUGAAAAAGUCUAUACCUUUUUUUUUCUCCUGCCAUUUUCCAAAAGUUCAUCUUCAAAAGAAUCAGAAGCAGUUGACCUACAUUUCAAUAUGCCUUCAUCACAAACACUUUCUCAAACCCUGGUGGCUGUGUUGAGAAGAAAUCUUGAGGACAUUACGGAACUUCUAAGAAUUUUCACGGAUGGAAAUUCUUCCUUUCUAGGCCUUAAGACACAAAGCUUCAGUUUCUGUCCUCUGCCAUCCACUCAAAAGCUUUCACAUUUACCUGUCAGAAUGUUUUCCCACAUGCUUAAUAUGACUUUUCCAUGUGGAUGGCGAGGGCAUCUAUUCUUGCUGCAAUCUCAGUUGUUAUGAAUAACACCUGUAUACCAAUUUAUCUUCUAUAAACCUCUUACUAUUGGGUCACUUUCUCAUUUUUUUCCCUCUCCAAACGAUGAACUGAUUUAACUAAUUCCACUGCCUACAACUCUCUUGAGAUCCACACUGCUAGUGGCUGCAGUGGAUCUUUCCAACCUCUUUAUAAUUUUGAGGACACAUGAAGACAGAUUUGCCUAUACGCAGGAAUGCUCCUCACCUGCUCCCAUCCUUCACUGCUCUCUUCUUCAAAUCCCUGAAGUGAUCUUGAAAUAGCUGCUUACAAAAACAUCUACGUGGUUAUGUAGCACUCAGUCUCAGGCUGGUCAUGAUAAAGA
rnacentral:lncRNA from 1 species